rnacentral:lncRNA from 1 species
GGGCGCUCUGAGCGCUCGCUCAGCGGUGCCGACCCGGCUCUCUCCGUCUUUCCAGGGCCGCGAUGCCUGCCAGGUUUCACCCAGCGGGGCCGCCCGGCUAGAAGCGAGCCGCUGAGGCCUGGGACGUCAGCGCUGCGCUCCCCCUUGUACGCCACGAGCUGUGCCUACACGAGGUUAUGGAGCUCUGGAGCCAUCCCAAGCAGUGCAGGGGAGGAUCUCUGAGUGUGCUCCAGGCUCAAAGAAACUUCCCUAGGGAAGGCCACAUCACAAACUCAUGUCUACUUCAGCAUGAUGCAUGUAGGAGUCUAGCACGUCUCUGAACACUUGAGCCUGGUUGUCUGUGUGAGGAGAUCUGCCACAGGCCUCCUGCUGCACUACUUGCCUGCUCCCUAUCCUUCAUGCUGCACCCUCGAUUAAGGCGCUGCUGGUGCCUCAGGACGGCCUCAGGACGGCUUUUCCAUGGGCACGGGGGAGAUUCCUCAGCUCGCAUCUCUCCAGACAGGUUGCUGAGUGCAAGGCAAGCCUUCAAAGCCCUGAAGCAGGAGAAACGAUUGCUUUCACUCUGGCCAAAUUCUCACAAGUUGAACAGACAGACGUUAUUUCCAUCUUUAGCUGAUCAAGCUUAAAGGACCCUGCAGCUACAAACAGAUAUCCAAGCAUACAGAAGUACAGGAUCUGAGAAACAGUCCAGGAAGGAGAGAGCCGUGUGCCGAACUGCUGAGCCAAGACCAGAGUCAACCCUGAGCCCUCCUCACUACAAGGCAGACCCCACACCAUCGCUGGAGGAAGGGGUAAGGAUCUGGUCCCUGUUGCCUUGGGGUUUGGCAGGGUCACAUGGGGAGGAAUGCACUUCAAGCAGACUUUGCUGGAUGUAGAUUUAGGGGGAAAUGUUGAAGGCAGGAAGCUGAGUUGUUCUGUGGGUCGCUGCUGAUCCAUGCUGUGAUCAGUCAUUUGUAACAGCUUUUGG